UACUUUAUUGGAGGGAUUGCUGAACACAAAUGGUUAUAUGAAUGCCAAUGUACAGAUGCAGAUGCAAAACAUUUCUAGGCAGAGGGUGCAACUUGGAAAAAAAUGGUAGCCAUAAUCCUGUGCUGUUGCGUGCUUCUUUUACUGCUGUUUCCCAGUGAUUUACUAAACAGUAGAAGAAAGCUCGAUUCAUAUGACGUCCAUGAGAUGUUGAAAAGAAAACAAAGAGAGUGGUGUGGAUAUCAGCGAGUUUGUUGUCUUCAACGCUGUCAUUAGAUAGAUAUUCCUUGAACAGAGAAGAAUCAAUUAAAAAUUAAUGAAUGCCUAGAUCAGCGAAACCGAGCUGAAAUACAUCUGAUUUUAUUGAUAAUCCCGCAAUUAACUGCAUGCAUAUAAUGGCUAGAUUCAGGAGAAAAAACUGAAGGCAAAAAAAGAAAGAAAAAAAGGUCUAUGACAUAAUCAAUAAACAUCAGUGAUCAUUAGUGGCUAGAUUAUUAAUUAUGGUUGUGAUUAAUUGAUUUUCACCUUCUAUGAAUGAUGUUGCAGCUUUCAUAUCCGGCCGUCCUCACCAUGAUUAGACAUGCCAGAUCGUCAUGGCAACCAUGCAAAUUAGUGCUGCGGAUAUUAAUGAGCAAAAUUGUUCACUGUUUCAUUGCUUUAGAUAAAAAUAAUAAUGCCCCAGCAGAGAAUGGGGCCUUGGGACAGACAAUGACAGACAUAUUGCAACGAAAUCUACCUAGCUAAUUGCAUUUCUUUAUUCUGUGUGUAAUCACGUUUUGUUAAAAUUCAUUUGUAAUGUGAGACCUCAUUGUAUGCCGGAUGAACUAGAGAAUUUCAUUAAAUAAAUAAUUGGUUUA